UGCUGGAAGAGUGCCAGCCGCCCGCGCCAUUCGAGGUCGUCUUCAUCUCCUCCGACCACAGCGCCGAGGAAAUGGUGAGCUACAUGCACUCCAUGCACGGCGACUGGCUGGCUCUGCCCUUCCACGACCCCUACAAGCACAGGAGUGCACAAGGAGCCAGGAGGAGACACAACCAGGAGAGCUGACCCGUGAUGGCCAGAUGGAUUUCACAUACCAUGUGCUGUUAAGUUUGGCAGUAAAAGUUGGGGUGAGGUCUUGGAGAAUGGGAGAGGUGCCUGAAGACUGGAAGAUAGCCAGUGUCACUUCAGUCUUCAAAAAGGGCAAGAAUGAGGAUCUGGGAAACUACGCGCCAGUCAGCCUCACCUCCGUCCCUGGAAAGGUCGUGAAAGAACUUGUUCUGGACGUCAGCUCCAAGCAAUUGGAAGAGAAGAAGUUUAUUAGGAGUAGUUAGCAUGGGUUCACCAGAGGGAAGUCAUGCUUCACCAACCCGGUAGUCUUCUACAGUGUCAUCACUGGCUGGGUGGACUGGAGGAGAGCAGUGGGUGUAGUCUUCCUGGGUUUCAGCAAGGCAUUUGAUACUGUCUCCCACAACAUCCUUAUAACAAAGCUGAGGAAGUGUGGGAUAGGUGAGUGGACAGGGAGGUGAGUUGAGAACUGGCUGGCUGGCCAAACUCAAAUGGUUGUGGUCAGUGGUAUGGAGUCCAGUUGGGGGCCUGUAUCUAGCACUGUUCCCCAGGGUUUGUUGCUGGAUCCAGUCUUGUUCAACAUCUUCAUCAGUGACCUUGAUGAGGGGAUAGCUUCCAUCCUCAGCAAGGUUGCUGAUGAUAUGAAGCUGGAAGGAAUGGCUCUGCUGCCAUUCAGUGAGACCUGAACAGGCUAGAGAGUUGGGCAGGGAGAACGCAGAUGAGGUUUAACAAAAGUAAGUGUAGAGCCUUGCACUUAGGGAGGAAUAACACGCAUGCACCCGUAUAAGUUGGGGGAUGACUUGCUGGAGAGGAGCUCUGCAGAGAGGGACCUGGGUAUCCUGGUAGAUGAAAGGUUGGUCAUGAGCCAGCAGUGUGCCCAGUUGGCCAGAAAGGCCAGUGGCAUCCUGCAGUGCAAUGAAAAGAGUGUGGCCAGGGAUCUCCUGGAAAGAGUCCAGUGGAGGGUGACAAAGAUGAUAAAGGGCCUGGAGUACCACUCUUUUGAGGGAAGGUUGAGUGACCUGGGUCUGUUCAGCCUUGAAGAAAGAAGACUGAGAAGGGAUCUGAUCAAUGUCCAUAAGUAUCUAAGGUGUAGGAGGCAAAGGGAUGAGGCCAGACUAUUUUCAGCAGUGUGUGGUGAUAGGACAAGGGGAAAUGGCCACAAACUGAUGCAUAGGAAGUUCUGCACAAGUGUGUGUAAGAACUUACUCAUGGUAAGGGUGAUGGAGCACUGGAACAGGCUGUCCAAGGAGUCUGUGGAGUCUCCUUCUCUGGAGAUGUACAAGAGCCGCCUGGAUGCCUGUCUGUGCAGCCUGCUCUAGGAAGCCUGCUUUGGCAGGGGGGUUGGACUUAGAUGAUCUCUAGAGGUCCCUUCCAGCCCCUACAAUUCUGUGAUUGUGUGACUUUCUGUCCUUCAGAAGUCAUCUCUAAUUUUUCUUGGGUUACUUGCUCAUUGACAGUUUGGAUAGAUCCUGAUGUCUUCCAUGAAGCAUUGCUAUUGUAUGGCUUUUGAAUUUUUUCACCUGUAGUUUAACUCUUUUGUUAGAAAACAAUUGACUGCAAGAUAGCUCUUUGUAAUCUGUCUGGAUUUAUCCAUAUCCUCAUUUAAAGAAAUGACCACUGUUGGUAACAUGUAACCUUUCUUGCUAGUUUUCCUUCUUUUGAGAUUUCAGCUUGUGUCAUUGAAGGAAUUUAAUGCGUUUUUCUGGGGUUUUUUAGGCUGUUUUAUUUUCUGCUUAAAGUAAAGUAUUAUGCACCAUGCUCCUUUACAGAUUUGAUUUAUUGCAACCUCUCUGUAGUGGAGUAAAUAGCUAAUGCUAAUUUAAGUAAGGUAUUUCCUCCUUACCAGCAAAAAGAGACAUCUGGCUCUGGCUAAUAAAAACAGGGUGGAAGGAUAUGUCACACUGUAAUUGACCUCUUUAUAGGAUUCAAUUCCCACCCCUCUGGAGGCUACAGUGAUGAAAAGCAGUUAUGGAAGGUUGCUUCAUUUCUCCUAGCUUCCUUAGUUAAGUUUCACCAGGUAAAUGCCCAGUUCUGGUUGGGCUUUCUCCAUCUCUCCAGACUACCCAGUGCUAUGCCUCAAACUCUGAAGUGUCUGGGCAGGCAUUGCUUUUGCUCUCCCAUGUGUACUUACCAGAAUACCUUUCACAAAAAAUUAGCUGUUUUCCUAGAAUGAUCCCUAAUGAUAUCUUUAUAUUUAACUUUUUUCUCUCAGUGAUCUGAAGAAGAAAUACAACAUAACAGCAAUUCCUAAAUUAGUGAUUGUGAAACAAACUGGAGAAGUCAUUACUGACAAAGGAAGAAAACAGAUCAGAGACAAAGGGCUAUCCUGUUUUCGGAACUGGCUUGAGGGUGCAGAUAUAUUUCAGAAUUUUUCUAGUUAAAUAGAAGUUGACAAGCAAGACAAGCCAUCAUGGAGAAUUUUGUUGAGCUUUUGAUCAAUUUUUGUGUUCUUCAGAACAAGAAGAGUAAGGCUGUAUUAUUUAACUUUGAAAAGAGAAUUUGUUUUUGACUUGAAGAUUAUUUAUUCCAUUAAGUUGUAAAAUACAAUGUCUAUUUUAUUUGUAUUGUUUUAUCUACUGUAGUCAGCACAGACCAAAACAUUCCUAAUAAUACUGAAGUACUUCAGGAAGUUAAGCUAUUUAAGACUGUAAUAAAGAAGCACUGUGAAAUCUAUGCAAAUGUCUUAUUCUGCAAAAUCUGUAAAAAAUAUAUCCACAGAGCUAUUUUUCUUGUCAGUCUUUUCUAAUGAUAGGCACAUUUUAUCAACAGAAUUGUUUGCUUUAAUAAAUAUUUAAAGUAUAAAAAUCUGAAGUCUUAUCUAUUUUAACUGUCUAAUCUGUAAAUGACAUGAUUAAAAUACACCUGUUUAAUAUUCAGUUCUGAUAAUGUACUUCUUUGGGGGUUGGUUAUAUAAGUUGUUGGGUUUUCUUUAUCUCUGGAAUUUUACAUUUGGCACUGCUUAUUCUUAGUCACAUGAUCUGUAGCAGUACACACUACAAGAGCACCUACGUUAGUCUGCCUGCUAUCUGGGUUUGUAGUCUCCUGACGUGUUCCUGAAAGUACCAAGGCAGAGCUGCCAGAACUUCAUCUGCUCACAUGUGGAGUGUGAUAUUUCCUCUUUGUUGCCCCAUCCUGUGCUUUCUAAGAGCCUGUGUCCAUCCUUUCUAAAAGGCUGUGUCUAUCUGUUGCAGCACUCAAAUUGUGUAAGCUGAUCACACUGCUGUAAUCCCAAAGAGGUCAUAGCUCUGUAACUGCACACAGACUGUUGUGACACAUAAAGCUGUUCUGUAUGUACUUUGUUGUUCUGGUUUUGAUAGUUUUGCACAUCAGUAUUUGCGAUCUCAGAAUUAUUAUACACUUGCAUUAAAUUAAUAGAUGUCUGAUGUAGACGAAAUACAGGGCAUUGGAAAAUACUUGCUAUAAUGAAUGAUGAAUACCAAGCAAUUUUGUCAACAAGCUGAGAUAACAUAUAUGUUAUUGUUAUGUAUAUGUAUACCAAUAGACUGUAGCAUGGUCUCAUUGAUGGAAACUGUUUUCUGGUUUGUUGCGUGUGCACUGGGAGAUAAAAUUAUUGCUUCUGUCUUGGAAGAGAAGAAUGAACCAAGAUUCCCAGAAGACUCUGCUUUUUCAUUCUGUCUUCAGGGAAGAGGGAAAGAUAAAACUGACUGGAAGUCACAAGACUGUCUUUUUUUGUUCCCUGGCAGAUAAGAGUAAGAAUUUGGGUUUUCAGAAACUCACUCCCAUUUACUUGAUAUUUAUUAGCUUCAAUCUCAGUUGACUUUUAUUUCGUUACUGUAAUUAGUAAAGUAAGUUUGUUGUCCUCCUCAGAUCAUUGCUGCUGUUUUUCUUUUCCUUUCAUUCCUUUCCUUUCUUUCCCCUUUUGGGCUGGUCCUCUGUUACGGACACAGUUCUAGAGAUAAAACCAUGACAACUCUGUUGAUCCUUCACUGAACUGGCAAGAUAUAGGCUUUUAUUAGUAAAUCAUUUUGUGAAACAGUACGUGUCAAGAUUGAGAGUCUGCAAUGUUGAAAUGAUAGAUAAGCAUUUUGCUAGGAAAAAUGGCAAGCAUUUUGAGUUGAUUCUUUGAUCCAUAUGGUGAUUUUUUAUUGACUGCAGUGACUAGCUGUGGGUAAAUGCUGCAGUCUCUUAUGUGACCACUGAUUAUAUCGUUUGGUAUAUUCAGGCGAAGUGUAGCAUCAGGGAUUAAAUAGAUAGACAUUAUCACAGUAGAUGUAGUACCACCUUCUUCCUGAAAGGGGUUGUACGCUACUAGGCUUCUUCCUGAAGAGCUGCUGUCGUCAAACUUAAAGAAAAAAUCUACAAAUAUAUAUGUAGUUAUGUUCCCAUUCAGUAAAUAUUAAAAGAUUGCAUACCAGUGCUGUGUGUUGUGAUAGAUUAUUUAUCUGCUCAAGGUGCAAACAUUCCACGCCUAAUUCUUUCUACUAAGAAUCUGAAAUACUACUCUUCAGGCAUAUUCUCUAUUGGCAUUAUAGACAUGAAUUCAUUUUUAAUUCUUCUGGGUUUUAAUUCUUUCUUAGUUAGCGUCACAACAAUUAAUUUAGCCUUAAUCACCAAAGUUACCUACUUACUACUAAUCCUUUAAGGAUAUUUUUCUGUUGCAAAUGCUGAAUGCUUGGCUUUCUCAGAGGUAUAAUAUGUGUAUAUGCAUCUUCAAAUUAGCAAACUGAUUUAUGCUGUACUGAAUUAAUUUCUCUUGAUCUCAUCUUUUUCUUGCAGCGUUGUUACUGUAAAUACUGUUGGGUAAAAUGUCAACCAACAUCUUACACAUGGAAGAUACAAAACUAUGUUCUGUGGGCAGUUUCCUAUGCAUUAAUAGAGAAACUCAAAACAGAAACUGAAACAAUUAAAAUGAGGGAGUUCUAUUCUCAACUAAGCUUGUGUUCAUCUUGCUGCACUGGUCAUGAGAAUUUAGCCAUGUGUUUAUGUGGUUUGCAGAAAAGGACUCUAAGCAAACACUAACUAAACAAAAAGUGUUGUUGGCUAUAUAUUAUUACUUGAAUGCUGUUUGAUAGCACGUCUCCUGCCCUGCUGCUAGCUGGCUUGAAGAAUAGUCACAGAAUUGUAGGGGGCGGAACGAACCUCUAGAGAUCAUCUAGUCUAACCUCCUGCCAAAGCAGGCUCCCUAGGCCAGGCUGCACAGGUAGGCAUCCAGGCAGGUCUUGAAUAUCUCCAAUGCAAACUAAGGUAGAACUACUGAGUUUCUCUAACAUCUAUAUUCAGGUAAAAACAGAGUCACACAUGCAUACCUGAAGGUUAUAAUUGAAUUCUUUCUUUAUGAUGACCAAAUUAGUUAUGCUUGCCUGUGGGUAUAAUCCACCUAAGUUCUAACAACUACUUGUUUUCAGUCUGUGGUAAAAUAGUAGUGAAUCAAGUAGAAAAUGCCAAGUUCAUACUUUUCUGUGCAUUAGAGUAAAAUGCAGUUGUUUGAUCAAGUUUCAGAUCCUUUUAACUCUUGUUAAGUCAUAUAUCAUUUAGGUCUUAAUGCAAAUAAUAGGUUCUCAUUGGAUCUAGACACUAAAAGCUUGAUUAGCCUAUAUCCACUUAAAAAAAAAGUAAAAAUAACAAAGCAAAAUAACUGUUAGAUUAUAAAUGGUAUGUUAGUUUUACCUUAAUUUGACAAAACAUGGCAUUUUCUUUUCAGAUGUGAUGGAUCUUAUGUGUAAGACAGGGUUCACACAUUUUGACUUAAGUGGAAGCGUUGCUUUUUUUUGUUAAGUUCCAACUGAUGAUGCUUUACGUAGGGUCGAAAUGUGUCUAAUAUGUGACCUGUAGUUUUUGCCAGCUAGAGGUAAUUCCUGUGGCUGACAAUCACAUUUCUUUACAAAUGACUUCUGAAAUGCUGGAUACCUCUGACCACUGAGAAUCUUUUAUUGCCCUGGGAUUGUGUUUUGGAAUCAAAAGUAAGAAUCUUUGAUGCAUGUGAAGUCAGAUAUGUUGGGUACUUAAAUGCAGCAUCUUGUUUCCAAUUUUUGUUGUCUACACACAGUUAUUACUGAGCACAGAUGUAUAAAAUAGAUUAAUAAAGCAAUAAAGAACUACUGAGUUACUUA